GACGAACGCUGGCGGCGUGCUUAACACAUGCAAGUCGAACGGUAAGGCCCUUCGGGGUACACGAGUGGCGAACGGGUGAGUAACACGUGGGUGAUCUGCCCUGCACUUCGGGAUAAGCCUGGGAAACUGGGUCUAAUACCGGAUAGGACCAUGGACUUCACGGUUUGUGGUGGAAAGCUUUUGCGGUGUGGGAUGGGCCCGCGGCCUAUCAGCUUGUUGGUGGGGUAAUGGCCUACCAAGGCGACGACGGGUAGCCGGCCUGAGAGGGUGUCCGGCCACACUGGGACUGAGAUACGGCCCAGACUCCUACGGGAGGCAGCAGUGGGGAAUAUUGCACAAUGGGCGCAAGCCUGAUGCAGCGACGCCGCGUGAGGGAUGACGGCCUCGGUUGUAACU
rnacentral:rRNA from 1 species